CAGAAUUCACAUCCAGGCAGUCUGGCUCUCGAGUCUAACUCCAUAGAUCCUGACUGCUUACUUCUCCUGGGCUGCCAGCUAAAGAAGUCCCUGUGUCGAGAAAUGAAAAAUGACAUCUUUGAUGGAGAAGACUCCACAGAGACCAGAGUAGAAAUGUGGCCUGUCCCUCUGCUUACAGAGCGCUCUCUUUCCCAUCAGAUGGCUGACAGGUCUUCAGCCCAUUGUCCUGAAAUGAGACACAACUGCCCUCCCAGUCACCAGCAUCCCUUUCACUUCACAAGCAUUUCUGGAAGCCAAAUCUGAUCCUGCUCAGGAUGCAAAAGGCCCUCUAUUUGGGACACACGAGGGGCAAGAUGGGUUGUCUAGCCAUUCUUUCUUUUCCAUUCUUUUCCUGCCUUCUUCACUGUGAUUUUUGAAAAACAACUCUUUCAAAACACCACUUAAAACCAUGGAUCUUCCUUUCUUUUCUCUUCGUGUUAAAUAUGUUAGGGGGAGAAUGGAGGGGUCGAGAGAUUUUUAAUAAAUGGAGACCAUUUUCCAGGGGUCAGCACAUGAAGGUUUCCAGCCUGCUGGGAAUGGCUCUCCUGUUUCACAAAUGAAGACACUAAGCCGUAGCCAGGGGAUCCAACGGGAGGCACAGAUAUAAAUUA